rnacentral:rRNA from 1 species
UACCAGCACCCCCGAGUGGUCGGGACGUUUAUUGGGCCUAAAGCAUCCGUAGCCGGUUCUGCAAGUCUUCCGUUAAAUCCACCUGCUUAACAGAUGGGCUGCGGGAAGAUACUAUAGAGCUAGGAGGCGGGAGAGGCAAGCGGUACUCCGAUGGGUAGGGGUAAAAUCCCGUUGAUCCAUUGAAGACCACCAGUGGCGAAGGCGGCUUGCCAGAACGCGCUCGGACGGUGAGGGAUGAAAGCUGGGGGAGCAAACCGG